UGAGGAAUAUUGGACAAUGGAGGCAACUCUGAUCCAGCCAUGCCGCGUGAAGGAUGACUGCCCUAUGGGUUGUAAACUUCUUUUAUAUAGGAAGAAACACUGCUACGUGUAGCAGCUUGACGGUACUAUAUGAAUAAGCACCGGCUAACUCCGUGCCAGCAGCCGCGGUAAUACGGAGGGUGCAAGCGUUAUCCGGAAUCAUUGGGUUUAAAGGGUCCGUAGGUGGGCGAAUAAGUCAGAGGUGAAAUCUUGCAGCUCAACUGUAAAAUUGCCUUUGAUACUGUUUGUCUUGAGUUAUUAUGAAGUGGUUAGAAUAUGUAGUGUAGCGGUGAAAUGCUUAGAGAUUACAUAGAAUACCAAUUGCGAAGGCAGAUCACUAAUAAUAUACUGACACUGAUGGACGAAAGCGUGGGGAGCGAACAGG
rnacentral:rRNA from 1 species